rnacentral:rRNA from 1 species
UUUAACACAAGUGAGUGGCGGACGGGUGAGUAACACGUGGGUAACCUGCCCAGAAGCAGGGGAUAACACCUGGAAACAGAUGCUAAUACCGUAUAACAGAGAAAACCGCCUGGUUUUCUUUUAAAAGAUGGCUCUGCUAUCACUUCUGGAUGGACCCGCGGCGCAUUAGCUAGUUGGUGAGGUAACGGCUCACCAAGGCGAUGAUGCGUACCGACCUGAGAGGGUAAUCGGCCACAUUGGGACUGAGACACGGCCCAGACUCCUACGGGAGGCAGCAGUAGGGAAUCUUCCACAAUG